rnacentral:lncRNA from 1 species
AUGCCAGUCUGGAGGACAAGGAGUCUGAGCAGUGAAGCAGGUGAUUCUCACCAGGACUCUGUGGAUGGUGCAAACGCAGGAGCUCAGCCCCAACACUGGCGAGAGACUGGAACCUGGGACGGUGGCAGUAGACGAAGGGUCUCUGCAAUCCAACAGCAAGAAUGUUUUGGAAGCCUGGGCAUUAUGUACCCUCCUGCAAGAGGCACUUUCAGCACAAGGAAGAACUCUGGAAGGCAUUUCAGAGAGAUCACCUCACUUGUCCCGCGUCCUCUGCUCAGACUGCUCCUAAAACGGCCUGGGCUGAUAGCAGUUGUCGUUCCCUGAAUCAUUUCCAGAAGGUGAUGCUAUAGCCUCUCAGCAGCCAGUAUUUAAUAACCUUAAGCAUCUGGAAAUCCUUCCUUAUUUUCCAACCAAAAUCCUUCCUGAUGCAAUUGCAAGUCAUUUCCUCUCAGUGCUCAGGAAAGGGAAACCAGAUGGUCAGUGCCCCACAUGAAAUAACUUUUAAUAAACUUGCCAGAAUUAGUGACCCAUCGUGUAGUCUGUUUCUUCCCUGGGUGAAAUUGUCCCAAUUCCAUCAACUGUUUUCUGCUUUGGUCUCAUUUUC